rnacentral:rRNA from 1 species
AUUGAACGCUAGCGGGAUGCUUUACACAUGCAAGUCGAACGAGUGGCGGACGGGUGAGUAAUAUAUCGGAACCUGCCUUUCACAGGGGAAUAACACUGGGAAACCAGUGCUAAUACCGCAUAGUGAAAGAUGGCCUCGCGCCUGAUUAGCUAGUAGGUGAGGUAACGGCUCACCUAGGUGAUGAUCAGUAGCCGGACUGAAGGUUGAUCGGCCACACGGGGACUGAGACACGGCCCAGACUCCUACGGGAGGCAGCAGUGGGGAAGUUUGGACAAUGGGGAAACCCUGAUCCAGCCAUCCCGCGUGUAUGAUGAAGGCCUUCGGGUUGUAAAGUACUUUUGGCAGAGAAGUCCUAAUACGAGAUACUGCUGACGGUAUCUGCAGAAUAAGCACCGGCUAACUACGUGCCAGCAGCCGCGGUAAUA